rnacentral:rRNA from 1 species
UGCAAGUCGAGCGCCCCGCAAGGGGAGCGGCAGACGGGUGAGUAACGCGUGGGAAUCUACCCAUCUCUACGGAACAACUCCGGGAAACUGGAGCUAAUACCGUAUACGUCCUUCGGGAGAAAGAUUUAUCGGAGAUGGAUGAGCCCGCGUUGGAUUAGCUAGUUGGUGGGGUAAUGGCCUACCAAGGCGACGAUCCAUAGCUGGUCUGAGAGGAUGAUCAGCCACAUUGGGACUGAGACACGGCCCAAACUCCUACGGGAGGCAGCAGUGGGGAAUAUUGGACAAUGGGCGCAAGCCUGAUCCAGCCAUGCCGCGUGAGUGAUGAAGGCCCUAGGGUUGUAAAGCUCUUUCAACGGUGAAGAUAAUGACGGUAACCGUAGAAGAAGCCCCGGCUAACUUCGUGCCAGCAGCCGCGGUAAUACGAAGGGGGCUAGCGUUGUUCGGAAUUACUGGGCGUAAAGCGCACGUAGGCGGAUAUUUAAGUCAGGGGUGAAAUCCCGGGGCUCAACCCCGGAACUGCCUUUGAUACUGGGUAUCUCGAGUCCGAGAGAGGUGAGUGGAAUUCCGAGUGUAGAGGUGAAAUUCGUAGAUAUUCGGAGGAACACCAGUGGCGAAGGCGGCUCACUGGCUCGGUACUGACGCUGAGGUGCGAAAACGUGGGGAGCAAACAGGAUUAGAUACCCUGGUAGUCCACCCCCUAGACAAUAGAAACUAUCCGUU